CGGGGAAUUUUGCACAAUGGAGGAAACUCUGAUGCAGCGACGCCGCGUGAGUGAUGAAGAUCUUCGGAUUGUAAAACUCUGUCCUUAGUGAAGAUAAUGACAGUAACUAAGAAGCAAGCCCUGGCUAAAUACGUGCCAGCAGCCGCGGUAAUACGUAUGGGGCAAGCGUUGUCCGGAAUUAUUGGGCGUAAAGGGUACGUAGGCGGUUUAAUAAGUCCUAAUUAAAAGGCUAUGGCUCAACCAUAGUAUGGUUAGGAAACUGUUGAACUUGAGUAGAUGAGGGGAAAGUGGAAUUCCAUGUGUAGCGGUGAAAUGCGUAGAUAUAUGGAGGAACACCAAUGGCGAAGGCAACUUUCUGGAAUCAAACUGACGCUGAGGUACGAAGGCGUGGGGAGCAAACAGG
rnacentral:rRNA from 1 species